rnacentral:tRNA from 1 species
CCCCCCAUAGCUUAAUUGGCAAAGCAGCGGACUCUUAAUCCGUGGAUCCGGGUUCGAUUCCUGGUGGGGGGA